rnacentral:rRNA from 1 species
AACGAACGCUGGCGGCAUGCCUAACACAUGCAAGUCGAACGAGACCUUCGGGUCUAGUGGCGCACGUGUGCGUAACGCGUGGUAACCUGCCCUUAGGUUCGGAAUAACUCCCCGAAAGGGGUGCUAAUACCGGAUAAUGUCUUCGGACCAAAGAUUUAUCGCCUUUGGAUGGGCCCGCGUUGGAUUAGCUAGUUGGUAGGGUAAAAGCCUACCAAGGCGACGAUCCAUAGCUGGUCUGAGAGGAUGAUCAGCCACACUGGGACUGAGACACGGACCAGACUCCGACGGGAGGCAGCAGUGGGGAAUAUUGGACAAUGGGCGAAAGCCUGAUCCAGCAAUGCCGGGUGAGUGAUGAAGGCCUUAGGGUUGUAAAGCUCUUUUACCCGGGAUGAUAAUGACAGUACCGGGAGAAUAAGCUCCGGCUAACUCCGUG